rnacentral:rRNA from 1 species
UUGUCGUCAGCUCGUGCCGUGAGGUGUCGGUUAAGUCCCAUAACGAGCGCAACCCUACCUUUAGUUGCCAUCAGGUAAUGCUGGGGACUCUAAGGAACUGCUACGCAAGUAGUGAGGAAGGCGGGGAGUGACGUCAAAUCAGCACGGCCCUUACGUCCAGGGCUACACACGUGCUACAAUGGCCGAUACAGAGGGCAGCUACCUGGUGACAGGAUGCAAAUCUCCAAAGUCGGUCUCAGUUCGGAUCGGAGUCUGCAACCCGACUCCGUGAAGUUGGAUUCGCUAGUAAUCGCGCAUCAGCCAUGGCGCGGUGAAUACGUUCCCGGGCCUU